rnacentral:rRNA from 1 species
CGCUAUCAGAUGAGCCUAGGUCGGAUUAGCUUAGUUGGUGAGGUAAUGGCUUCACCAAGGCGACGAUCCGUAACUUGGUCUGAGAGGAUGAUCAGUCACACUGGAACUGAGACACGGUCCAGACUUCCUACGGGAGGCAGCAGUGGGGAAUAUUGGACAAUGGGCGAAAGCCUUGAUCCAGCCAUGCCGCGUGUGUGAAGAAGGUCUUCGGAUUGUAAAGCACUUUAAGUUGGGAGGAAGGGCAGUUACCUAAUACGUAAUUGUUUUGACGUUACCGACAGAAUAAGCACCGGCUAACUCUGUGCCAGCAGCCGCGGUAAUACAGAGGGUGCAAGCGUUAAUCGGAAUUACUGGGCGUAAAGCGCGCGUAGGUGGUUUGUUAAGUUGAAUGUGAAAUCCCCGGGCUCAACCUGGGAACUGCAUCCAAAACUGGCAAGCUAGAGUAUGGUAGAGGGUGGUGGAAUUUCCUGUGUAGCGGUGAAAUGCGUAGAUAUAGGAAGGAACACCAGUGGCGAAG